GAUGAACGCUGGCGGCGUGCCUAAUACAUGCAAGUCGAACGCUUCACUUCGGUGAAGAGUGGCGAACGGGUGAGUAAUACAUAAGUAACCUGGCAUCUACAGGGGGAUAACUGAUGGAAACGUCAGCUAAGACCGCAUAGGUGUAGAGAUCGCAUGAACUCUAUAUGAAAAGUGCUACGGGACUGGUAGAUGAUGGACUUAUGGCGCAUUAGCUUGUUGGUAGGGUAACGGCCUACCAAGGCGACGAUGCGUAGCCGACCUGAGAGGGUGACCGGCCACACUGGGACUGAGACACGGCCCAGACUCCGACGGGAGGCAGCAGUAGGGAAUUUUCGGCAAUGGGGGAAACCCUGACCGAGCAACGCCGCGUGAAGGAAGAAGUAAUUCGUUAUGUAAACUUCUGUCAUAGAGGAAGAACGGUGGAUAUAGGGAAUGAUAUCCAAGUGACGGUACUUUAUAAGAAAGCCACGGCUAACUACGUG
rnacentral:rRNA from 1 species